rnacentral:rRNA from 1 species
AUGGCGCCCCUCGACCCCGGCCCCUCCGCCGACGCCUCCGCGGCGCCCAGGCCCAUCAACCCUGGUAGGAACAGAAGUAUGGAUCCAAGGAUGCGAGUGGCUUCUUCCAACGCGCACCGCACAUCUAGUGCGCGUCAAAGUGAUUCAAAGCUCGAGCUCUUCGGUUUCGACUCGUUGGUCAAUAUUUUGGGGCUUAAGAGUAUGGCAGAAGAACCAGCUCAGACACCUGCUAGUCCUACGGAUAGUGAGGAUAUCGGUAUUACCAUCGGACGCCCUCAGGAAACCGACCCUAAACUCGGUACCCUGAUGGGUGUCUUUGUGCCGUGCUUGCAGAAUAUCUUGGGAAUAAUAUAUUAUAUACGUUUCACAUGGAUCGUCGGUAUGGGAGGCAUAUGGCAGUCCCUUGUUUUAGUUGCAUUAUGUGGCGCAUGCACAUUUUUAACUGCAAUAUCAUUAAGCGCGAUUGCAACAAAUGGGGCAAUGAAGGGUGGUGGACCAUACUAUCUAAUUGGCCGUGCACUAGGUCCAGAAGUUGGAGUUAGUAUUGGAUUAUGCUUCUUCCUUGGAAAUGCAGUUGCUGGAGCUAUGUAUGUGCUGGGAGCUGUAGAAACCUUUUUGGAUGCUGUUCCUUCUGCUGGAUUUUUUCAAGAGAAGGUUACAGUGGUCGAUAGUACAGCAAAUGGAGGCAGUGGAAUAACUAUAUCAACACCCAGCUUGCAUGACCUCCAGAUCUAUGGUGUCAUUGUGACCAUACUGUUGUGUUUUAUUGUGUUUGGUGGUGUCAAAAUUAUCAACAAGGUCGCCCCUGCAUUCUUAAUGCCAGUCCUCUUCUCAAUACUCUGCAUUUACAUUGGUGUCUUGAGUGCUCCAGGGCCCAACUCUCCAAAGGGAAUCACUGGAUUAAGUACGACUACACUAGUUGACAACUGGAGUGCAGAUUACCAACCUACAAACGAUGCUGGAGUUCCUGAUCCAAAUGGGCAUAUAUAUUGGGAUUUUAACGCAUUGUUAGGUCUCUUUUUCCCAGCUGUUACAGGAAUCAUGGCUGGUUCGAACCGCUCUGCUUCACUUAAAGACACACAAAGUUCAAUACCAAUUGGAACAUUAUAUGCUACCCUUUUAACUACUAUGAUGUAUCUACUGUCUGUGUUUCUGUUCGGAGCCUUGGCUACAAGACAAGAGCUUCUAACUGACAGGCUCCUAACAGCUACAGUCGCUUGGCCUGCCCCAGCAGUAAUUCACAUUGGCAUCAUCUUGUCUACUUUAGGUGCAGCGCUGCAGAGUCUAACAGGGGCUCCAAGGUUACUUGUGGCAAUAGCGAAUGAUGACAUUCUUCCUGUUCUUAAUUGUUUCAAGGCUUAUGAAGGAUCUGAGCCACACGUGGCAACUCUAUUCACAAGCUUCAUCUGUAUUAGUUGUGUUGUGAUUGGGAACUUGGAUCUAAUUACACCCACUAUCACUAUGUUUUUCCUUCUGUGCUAUGCCGGUGUGAACCUUUCCUGCUUUCUGCUUGACCUCCUCGAUGCUCCAAGUUGGCGUCCUCGAUGGAAGCUUCACCAUUGGAGCCUUUCUCUCAUCGGUGCAUUGCUUUGCAUUGUUAUCAUGUUUAUGAUCUCUUGGGCUUUUACUGUGGUCUCUCUUGCCCUUGCAAGCCUUAUCUACUACUAUGUCAGCUUAAAAGGAAAGGCUGGAGACUGGGGAGAUGGAUUUAAGAGUGCCUACUUUCAACUAGCUCUGCGAAGUCUUCGAUCACUGGGAGCAAACCAAGUUCAUCCAAAAAAUUGGUACCCUAUUCCUCUCAUAUUCUGCCGCCCUUGGGGCAGACUUCCAGAAGAUGUCCCAUGCCACCCAAAGCUUGCAGAUUUCGCUAAUUUCAUGAAGAAAAAGGGACGUGGCAUGUCGAUAUUCGUCUCUAUAAUUGAUGUUGACUAUCAUGAGUCUGCUGAGGAUGCAAAGGCAGUCUGCAGGCAACUAAGCGCUUAUAUUGACGACAAGCGCUGUGAGGGUGUUGCGGAGAUCAUCGUGGCACCCUCGAUGUCCGAUGGUUUUCGCAGCAUUGUUCAGACAAUGGGCCUGGGAAACUUGAAGCCAAACAUCGUCGUCAUGCGCUACCCUGAAAUCUGGCGCAGCGAGAACCUGACACAAAUACCAUCGACAUUUGUCGGCAUCAUAAACGAUUGCAUUACUGCUAACAAGGCCGUUGUCACAGUGAAGGGGCUUGAUGAGUGGCCCAACGAGUACCAGAGACAGUACGGGACCAUCGACCUAUACUGGAUCGUGAGAGAUGGAGGGCUGAUGCUUCUGCUGUCUCAGCUCCUACUGACCAAGGACAGUUUCGAGGACUGUAAGAUCCAGGUCUUCUGCAUCGCCGAAGAAGACACCGAGGCCGAGGAGCUAAAGGCUGACAUCAAGAAGUUCCUGUAUGAUCUCAGGAUGCGAGCAGAGGUUAUUGUCGUCACCAUGAAAUCCUUUGAAGCGCAUGCGGACGGCAGUUCCAGGAUUGAUGACACUCAAGAAGCUUACACAAGCGCACAGAACAGAAUCAAGGUAUACCUUUCAGAGAUGAAGGAGACCGCGGAGAGAGAAGGGCGGCCCCUGAUGGAGGGCGGCAAGCAGGUCGUGGUUAAUGAGCAGAAGGUGGACAAGUUCCUCAACACCAUGCUGAAGCUGAACGCUACCAUCCUCAGGCACUCCAGGAUGGCCGUCGUGGUGCUGGUGAGCCUCCCGGCGCCGCCGCUGAACCAGCCCGCCUACUGCUACAUGGAAUACAUGGAUCUGCUCGUCGAGAACGUGCCACGGAUGUUGAUGGUUAGGGGAUACAGAAGAGAUGUUGUCACACUUUUCACAUGA